ACGGAAGGUCCGGGCGUUAUCCGGAUUUAUUGGGUUUAAAGGGAGCGUAGGCCGCGUUUUAAGCGUGUUGUGAAAUGUAGGCGCCCAACGUCUGCAUCGCAGCGCGAACUGGAACGCUUGAGUACGCGCAACGUUGGCGGAAUUCGUCGUGUAGCGGUGAAAUGCUUAGAUAUGACGAAGAACUCCGAUUGCGAAGGCAGCUGACGGGAGCGGCACUGACGCUUAAGCUCGAAGGUGCGGGUAUCAAACAG
rnacentral:rRNA from 1 species